AAAACAUUGCCUCUUGUUAAUUCUAUAAAAGGUUCUUCCUGCCCAGUGACCCUCGGGUUUAACGGCCGCGGUACUCUGACCGUGCUAAGGUAGCAUAAUAAUUUGCCCUUUAAUUGGGGGCUAGUAUGAAUGGAUAAACGAAAAUUAUACUGUCUCUACUAAUAAUAUUGAAAUUGAAUUUCAGGUGAAAAUACCUGAAUGAUGAAAUAGGACAAAAAGACCCCGUAGAGCUUCAUUUUUAAUCUACUUUAUUUGUGUAAUUCUACCUACUACUUUCCUAGAUCCAAAAAUUUAGCUGGGGCGGCUAAGGAAAAUUAAAACUUCCAUUUAUUUUAAUACAGGUUCAUACACCUCUUAAAUUGAUCCUUACAUAAGAACAAAAAACAAAGCUACCUCGGGGGUAACAGACUAAUUCUUUUUGAAAGUACACAUUGACAAAAGAGUUUGGCACCUCGAUGUUGGCUUAGGGUAUCCUAAGGGUAAGCAGCAGCCCUUAAAGGUAGGUUUGUUCAACCUUUAAAACCCUACGUGAUCUGA
rnacentral:rRNA from 1 species